UAUUGAUUCUGUAAAAUUUAU
ensembl:piRNA 21ur-618 ncRNA